UGGGGCUCGCCUGAGGGCCCGCCCCGCCUCUCGCACCCCGCCCUGCUCCGGGGGUAGCGGCUGCUGAACGGAGCGUGUCCGAAAGCACCCAAAGAACCACGCUCUAAUAGACACGCUUAAAAAUGUAUCGAAACUGUGGGAAAGUCCUGUCUGGGGUUGGAAGGAUUCCCCUUCAGUCUAAGGAGAUUACACCGCAAAGGCCACAGUGGACCCCAGACAGUUUCAUCCUAGGCAGUGACACAGAUGAGAGACCAUGCGAUGGACCACCCUUCAUCUCUAAAAACACCUCCUGUCUUUCAGUGCCAUCUAGUGCCGAAGCAUGGAAGAGAGGGUGUAAUUAAUCGAAUUUCUCCUCAUCAGAUCGAUUUGCUGUAAUUCAUGCAUUUUGGAAACUGAUAGAUGGUACUGGCAGAAGCUCUACUGAAAAGGAGUAGCCCACCCCACAUCUGAGCCAAAUCACAAUUUCAUUUACAAAGUACAUCUGCAAGGCUUGGAGUAACAGGUCUUUCUAUUUAUCUACAGAAAGAAAGGAACAAGGUGAUUUUUGAAACAAGGAAGAGACAAAAAAUGAAGGGUUAUCCAGAGACCACCUGAAUUCAGGUUGUUGUCUUUUAUCCCUGCAUGCCUUUCUUUACAGUGAUGGCUAGUUAUUAUUCUCAUCAGCAGUGAAACAGUUCUUAACCUUGAAACACCCUUGGCUGUCUUUUACCGUAACAUAAACUUGAGAGAUACACAUGAAGGAGUUACAUCAUCUCCCCAUAUUACUGCAAAGAAAGAACUUAAUGGCCAGCACAGACAACUCCCCCUUGAAGACUUCAGAUUCUAAAUUAAGAUGCAAAUUGUGGGUAGCAAAUACAACAAAAAGAAUAUGAAUACAGUCAUAUACAACAAUACAACAGUCUUGUGUGUAUUCAGAUCCUUGUUUAUAUGUAACAAAUCUUACCUUUCCCACCUGGCCAUGAAGGAACUGGAAAGUCACUAUUCUCUGAAUUAGUCCGGCUAAAGAGGAAACAAAACAAGGUGCUCAUCUGCUUUCAUUCUAGUAAAAAUCUAAUUUAAUUAGAGCAAUUUCAGAUCACAAUUCUGACAGCUGUGUUUAUCACACUUUCUUCAAAGGAUAGAAAUUAGCAUUGACUGACAUUAGCAUCAAAGCUUAUUUAUUCACCCGCCCACAUCCUAGCAGCCCUUCUGAGUUUGUCUGUUUAUUUAGCACUUUAAUAACACCACAGUAAAUAAGAUUUCAUUUCAGAGCAUGCAUGUUUUUUGUCAAAGCAUUUAGUGCAGGCUUGUUGGAAUGCCACAGUAGAGCCCCUCAUUGCAGGUUUGAUGAAAGAGCACUGGGUGUUCUCCAGAUAAAGCAUUUUAAAUGGUUAACAAGGACAUAGCCUGGGAUCCAGAAUUUCUUUUUCUUUCUUUUUUGUCAACAACUAGAAAAUACCUGUCUUUCGGCAGUAGCCAGAGACAACCUGUCAAUCCUUAAGCCGCAGAAGAUUGCCCAAGUCUGCCAAAAGCUUGGAUGGGGUGGAAAUGGAGCCUCCUGUGGAUAUGACCCAGACAGAAAUGGAUGACCACAGGCCUCCUCUGUUAUGUUUACUUACGAAAUCAGGAGAAAGAAAAGCACAGCUAUGAGAGCAAAGGGCCAGUGUGGGCAUUUUCUGCCUUGCAGUGAAACAUCAAAACUAAUGAGGGAAAUAGCUGUUCCUUCCCAAGGUUUAUUGUGUACAGUCAGGACAGUAGUCUCUCCUAGACAGUGCUAGCAGCCUUAGCCGGAACAAAAAAUCAGAGCCCUCACUGAAAGAUGUCAUUCAGAACAUGAACAAGGAAUGGCAGAGCUGAAAAAGUUCUCUCUCCAAUGGGCAUACUAUUCUAAAGAGAAGUCAGAUUUAAAAAAACAAAACAAAGAAAACACAAAGAAUAUCAAAUGGGAAUAAAUUCCACUGCAUUACAAUUAUAAAUGACACAGAAUUACUUUCUCAAAUCCUAUGACUUAAUAUGCAACAGAAUUAUCAUAAGAAAAUGGUUCUGUGUAACGGAAAUAAUUUCAGUUUUGGUAUUUCAUCCAGCGGUGCAGACAGGCCUGUGGAGUGUGCUGUCUUGGCUGGAGCUUAUUGAGCUUAUUGAGUCUGACCAUUGGUUUAUACAGCAGGAGCUGAAAAGUGACAAAUUCAAUUCUACAAUUCUGAAAUUAGGAAAAACCAGAAACACCAAGGAAAUGAGACACUCAGCAGCUGGUUGGUGAGAGAGAUGAAAAAUUCACAACUUUCAAUCACUCACAGCACAUGUUAUGCAGAAAAAGACUGAGCUCCCAGUCUUUCUUUGGAGGUUGUGUCACUUCCAAUCUUUCCUAUAAGACCCAAGCAUGGCUUAUGGUGGCGAUUUGCACGUGGAUGAAUGAAACGUCUGCUUUCAGUGACUGUAUUUCUGUCUUGGUUUUCUCUAGUUGAGUGAGUAAACAGCUUUUGGGAGGAUAUAUUCUCCUUGGAAAUAUCCCCAUGCUUUAAACCAUUACACUCAGACUCACUUUUUUUAUAAAAAAGGAGGAAAAAGGUGGAGGAGGCAACAGUGUUAACACUGAUUUACAUUUUCAACUGACUGCCCAGUGGCUGGAAAAUUUUGUUUAUUCUGUUUAUCUAGCCAGAAACCACACAGGCCCAUGUAAACCCAGAUUUUGGACAUGCUUUUUCUCAAUUACCAUGAAAAUGUCAGGGAAAAGUGUAAUUUAAAUAUCCCUUCAAAAGCAUUGUCUUGCAUAGUACUUUACACAAUCCACUCUUUCAGUAGGUCCCCUCCCUUUCUUCAGGUAUACCAGCAACCAAAAAUGUGCAAGCAAGAGUAGCUUACGACAAUAUUCAGUAUCUCAUAGGAGAUUACUGCAGCAGCAUAUAAACUAGGAUAAGAGCAUUCUUCUUUUAUUAGGUGAGUUGAUCUAUAAAGCAAAUCUACCUUCUUUAUGAAUACUGACCAACACUUUAAUCUGCAACAAAAAUAUGGAACCUGGAGAGCAAGAAUUAAGAAAAUCACUAUUAUUAAUGUUCAACUGCUUGCUUUGCUGAAUAUAGGUAAAUGUUACAUGUUUCCAGUCAGCCAAAGUUCUUUUUGUUUCCACUUGGUUACUUUAAUGAGUGAGAAAAAAAAAAAAACCCACAAAAAAAUAUCUGCAUUUGCCCAGACCAAGGGAGGAUUCUGCAAGCUGGUUUAGGGACAUCAGGAUAUUGAAUUCCUUUGUAAUGGCCCAAGCAGGAAGUUUUCCACAUUCAGAAACCAUCAGCUAAUGACAGCUCCAAGGCUCAUGCAUCAGAAAAUAAGAGCUUCAGUUAAUGGGAAUCAGAUGACAAGCUCCAGUGAUCCCUUUAGCUUAAAUAAAGCUGUAGAUGCCACCAAGGUCAUGUUCUUCCUCACAGAAUUCCCUUUUCCAUGAUCGUGGUUUUUUUCUCUACUGCACAUCAAAUCUUGCUGGCUGGGCAAAGGGAGGGGAUGUGUUGGGCCACAAGUGGGUAAGAAUUCACUCCUAGACUAUAAAGCUACUUUGAUAUACAGAGAUAUAUUGGAACAGCAACAAUCAGUGUUUAGUUGUUGAGACACAUUUUGGGUCACAUUCUGAAAAUUCAUUAAUAUUUGCAAAAGCACAUUGUGAGAAGCCCAUUGUAUUCUUUAUUGAUGUUCAACACUCUGAUACCCCAAGGUGUCCUUUGUCACUCAAAAAAAGUCCAUGUCAUUUCCCUUAGAGUUUUUUCCAUUAUCUCCAUGUUCCUGAAGAUAAACCAGUAAAACAUUCAUUAGAUAAAAAGCAACUAAUGUAGGUGUCUCCUGUUAGGAACACUUAAAAAAUUAUAAUUGUCCCAGUGCUUCCACUUACCUUGCACUGACACUCCAUCAUCACAUAAGGCUGAUUUAUGGCUGUAGCUUAUGUGGUGAAUAGUGACAAGCCAUUUGCAGUAUCAGAAGCCACAACACACAGUUAAAACAAGUCUUGAAAAGCAACAUUGUGGAAACACCAUCGGCAAAUCUGCUGUUACAUUUUAGAAAUAAUCCAGUUUUGCUUUAGCAGCAAAGACCUGCAAGAAGUUGUAUUGGAGUGGGGAGGGUGAGCUGUAAUCAUCUCUGGCUCAUGUUUUAAGAGUCCCAACCCCUGUGCUACCCUUUUCCUCUCAAGUUACUCCCUCCACUAAGCAAGACUGCUGUUAAAUAGGUUUAUGUAUCAAAGGUUCCAAUUUAAGUCUUGUUAAAGAGAAAUAAGAAUAGAAUUUGAUGGAUAAGAAUCAAGCUCAAGGGAAGAAUCUCAGAAUAUGCUGCCAGAGCUGAGGUCCUGUUUUAAAAUUCAGUUUUAUCACACCUAAAACUUGGAAAACUACACUACCAGUUUUAAAUACUGCUUUUCCAAAACAGACAUUCACUUUAAAGCAUAAACUGGCAUAAGCUCACUCUUCAGGUUUUCAGGGAAGUUGUGUUGCACCUAAAUUGCAAGAGCCAUGUGUGACUCUUUUCUAAAGCUAAACUGGCCAACUACAACUUCGAAUACAGAUUCAGACAGUUUCAAGUUUCAGCAACAUUUGGAACGCCUUCGUUGAUAGGCAAUUAAAACCGAAUUUAAAAUUAUGAAGUCCACAAUCUGUUACCUUCACAUAAAAAAAAGAAAAAAAAAAAUCCCAUAUUUCCUGUGGAAUUUUAUUGCUAGAAAAUCUCCACCACACAUUUCUUAGUUUACAUCCUUAAUUCCGAAUUCUCACCCAGAUGAUCAUCCACUGGGUGUUUCCUCAAGAGGUCCUGUGACUGGCCUUGGAUCAGCUGAAUGUCCUGUACAGCCACCAUUGUUACAGCCAUCAGUAACGAGUCUUGCAGCAUAACAAAGUAGGGCAGGUUAUUUUCUUACUGGCAGGAAUUAGUAAAGGAUAAUUGGAGUUACAUUAUCCCAACAGCAAACAACACUAAUAGAAGCAGAAGUUUUACAACAGAACCACACACUUUAGGGACUUUCAGAGAACUGGUGACAAGAAAAAGGUUUAGAACUCAGGUUAUGGGAAGUGUUUUGUAUCACCUACAUUCCCAAAGGGCCUUUAUGGUUAGACAAAGCUAAUCCUCUACAGCGUCAUGUAGUUAGUGACCCAUCAAAAAACCCUCACCUAAUUCUUGGAUCAGGCUGAGUUUGGGAUAUUUCCUAUUGCAAAGAUGCACAUAAAAGCUCAACUAUUUCCUGUUUCACAUGGAAGAAGUUGUCUGACUGCAGAUUGCAAAAGCAGCGGGUUGGUUGUUUUUCCCCUGGAGAGAAUGGUUUUGUAGGACCUCAGGUGCUCUUCUCUGUACAGCCAGUGUGUCUUUCCUCACUAGCUUUCUCUCCACACCAUGUCCAGUUUUUUGCCAUGGCUGUUGCUGAGGAAUGGGAACCCCUUCCUCUUCCUGGGCACCAUCCUGCUGGGAAAUGUUGUGGCUUUCUGUCCCUCUCCCUCAACACACACUUGGGCAGGUGGCUGUGACAGCAGAGUGUCCAGGAGCCCCAGGAAGGCCUUAUUUGCAAUGCAAGGUUAGAACACACUGAGUUUAACUUCACAUUCCAGUGUUGUUCAUGGAAAGUGGAAAUGAGUGGAAUAGACAAACAUUUAUUUAUGGCAAUCUUGUAUCUUGCAGGGUGAUGGAUUUUCAUGGUUAUACUGAGAUUACUUUCCUACAGCCACAUUGAUUUUCACAGAAUCGUUUCUUAUUUGUAUUCCUGUAAUCAGGCCAGGAAGAAUCAAAUGUUCCAUUUAAACCAUUUUUUUUUUCAUUCAGUGGUAAACUUUUCAUGCUCUCCUAGAUCUGGGUUCUGGACUAAAUGUAAAUGAGAAAAAUAAAAUUGUGAGGGAAAAGAACAAGAUCUGCUUUAUUUAUACCAACUUGUUUGCAUUAGAAUCAGUCGUGGCUGAGGCUGGUUUUUGCAAUAUUCAGGGGGAAAUUUUUCAGGCCAGGUCCCUCAGCAGUUCUGUGCAUACCCAGCACUGGGUUUAAAACAGCUUUUCAUUGGCAUUCAAAAAUCUGUUAAAUUUACCACGUUUUAUUAGUAUUUAUUUAUUAACAAUUUGCAAAAUCAUUUGUUCCUGCACUGUGACUAUGCAUUAUUUACCUUAUCCAAAAGAAAAGCUGGACACAUGAAAUCCUAGGGAAGGUUUCCUCCUAUAGCACCAUUUAGAACUGCAGCCCCAGUGCAGGUUUCAAUCUAAUGCACUAUUUUUCCUUGAAACCUGCCUGCACAUACAUCCCAACUCUGUGUGGCAGUGAGGAGCAGUCUGAAGGUUAUUGCUGUAGCUAUGGAAUAUCAAUACCUCCAUGGCCACAAAUACAAUUCUGUUUGUUUCUUAAAGCACCUAAACCCCCUACCUUUUACUUAGUUAUUAUUUCAGUUGUGGUUUUCCCCUGAUAUUAAAAACAGGCAAAGCGCCUCCACUGGGUAGAAAGACCCAAGUCUGUGUAAACUGUAAAUUAGAAUUCCCUACAAAUGAGCAUAGGGGCACAUAAUUAUUUGUGUCUCGGAAUUCCUGCAGUAGGUGGAUGUCCUUGGUUACCUCCACAGGCUGUGCUGCCCAUGUGCAGUUGGUCAGGAUGUUCUCUGAGCUGGUGGAUGGGAAGAGGUGAAACCCAGUGACAGUCCUUGGUGGCUCAUUUCAGACAUGUCACUCAGUAACCCUGUCAUAUUUACCCGAAACUCUCUCCAGAAACUGCUUUCAUACCAAGGAGAUUUUUUCCUUCAGCAGGACACAGAAGAUACUGUGGAAGCUUCAGAGAAAUUUUGUAUCUGCCUUGCCAGUAGAACAGCUUUUUCAUUAAUAGUUAAAGCAUGGGAGCUUUUAAAGCUGUGUUGCCAAAAGCAAAUGGUUUGAAUUUUAAUAUGUGGCUUUGAGUUUAACAUUUUCCCCUUUCUCUGUUCAUUCAUUUCCUCUUAUAUUCCUAAGGAUCUACCAUGUAUUACAGCACUUUUCACAGGAAUUCAUGUAAUCUGAUUUUAACCUUUAUGUGUAUUCUUUUUCUGUUCAAUUCAUUAAUAUUUAAAAAUUUCUGCAGUUUGAAAUACAGGAGCAAGAAAGUCCUUAGUCAGGCUGACUACACCUAGUGAUACAUGGCUCAGAUUUAACAAACCUGUCAAGAUUACUUGAUCUUUCUCAGUCCACCCUUGAUUAGAAUCAUCCUAUUCUGAUUUUUCUGCAGGUGCUUUCUGCCACACUGGUCUAACUGUGAAGUUUGCACAAACUUCAUACCAUACCUAACAUACCACACACUGACUGCUGUCUACCUGCAUGAUAACAAUGGUUUUCUACUGUUUUCAUCACAAAGGAUGCAUCUGGCCAUGCAAAAACUCCUUUGUGGGUACUGUAAAAUGUACUCUUUGGAGAAAGCUGAUGGGCUGGUACUAUAAAGUGUAGUCUGAAUUGUAUUGAUAGUUUCUAUCAUUUGAACAAAACAAAACAGAUAAUUUUACAAAUCAUCAAGGGUUUUAAAUCCUGGUGAUAAUGCCUUCAGACAACACCAGUAAGUAUUAAAAUAAGGAGAAAAAAUAGCAAAGAUCCAGAUUUGUUGCUCGAGUAGUGAUUGCAUUCCAGUUAAUCCAUCCUUAAAGUAAGCUAAUUAAUCUUAUUAAAAUUAAAAAUAAAAAAAACAAAAAAUGAAAAAAAAAACCUUUAACUUGCUAAGGAAUUAAGUGGACGCAAUUGAAACUGUCCGAAACCAGAGAUGCAGACUCCAAGGACACUGUGAACUAUGGAAACAAGAAGAAAGUUUUAAUUUUGAGCAUAAAAACAAGUUAAUCUUUGAAGUUGCACCAAACACAGUUCUGUACCAUUCACCUUGCAAUAUGAACUGCCACUUAGCAAAAAAGAAAACUUGGAGCCUCUUUUAACUGAUCUCCUCACACUGGCCAAAUUCAGCUAAUAUAUUAUUUGCUUUAAAUAAUCCUACCGUGGCCAGCAGGUUGUGAUAGAACAGUCAGUGUAUGCAACAGCCAUACAGACAUCUGAAUUUGGAAAGAACCAAGUCUUGGAGAUACAUCACCUGCAUCCUGUUUGCGAGUUUGUCAAACAAAACAAAAAUGGCAAAGUUCCAUGUUUUAUCCUACAAAUUCAUAACUCCACAACUGAGCUCUCCAGGUGAAAGGUUCACAUCAGCCUCAACUGUGCCAUAUUAAACGUGGCAGUCUUUGUAAAUUCCACAAUUCCUGUAUUUGUGAAUUCCUCCAUUUAUAAUACCGAUGUUUGCUGUGUGGAGAUUUCUCAUCAUACUUGUGAUUUUUUCUAAACAUCCAUGGCUAAAGCUCCUGUUUCCUGCUGCAGUCCUGAGCUGCAGAUGCUGCUUGUGUCCCAUCAUUCAGAUGUUGUGUGCAGAAUGCACUGCUGUUACGGUUUUACAGAGGACUGUCAUGAUUUAUCCCUGGUUGGCAGCUCAGCACCACACAGCCACUCACUCACUUCCUAGCCCUGGGGGAGAGAAUUGGAAAGGUAAAACACUGAUGGGUUGAGAUAAAAGCUGUUUAACUAAAUUUAAGAAAAGACAACAACCAGAAACAAAACAAAACAAUAAAGAAACACCAAACAAAAACCAAACAAGGCAGAGUGGGGAAAAAACCCCAAAUGCAAGAAGAACAAACUGAUGCCCAGCCAGUUUCUGGGCCAGGGGAGCCCCUGCCAACCUCCAUCCCCAUGGUUUGAUUGCUGAGCAUGGCAUUAUAUGCUGUGGGAAAUCCCUCUGUUUUUUUCCAGGGGUUUUUCUGGGGGUCAGUUGCCCUGCUGUGUCCCCUCACAGCUUCCUGUACACCCCCAGCCUGCUGGGGCACACUGGCAGGGCAGUGUGCAGAGGAGAGAAGCCCUCAGUUCACGUUUCCAGCUGCCUGAGGCCUCAUUGUCCACCUCAGCCUUUUCCCCACAGCCGUGAGCAGGGAGGUGAUGGACACAGCUUUGGCCAGCAGCGAGUCUGUCUUGGGGCUGGCUGGAACGGGCUCUGGCCAACAUGAGGGCAGCUGCUGCUCGCAGAAGCUGCCCCUGCAGCCCUCCCACUUCAAAUCCUUGCCAUGGAAACCCAGCCCAUGACCCCAGAGAACCCCACACAGAUGCACACAGCAUCACGCCGCUUUCUUCCCAAAGGGCAGAUGCCCCAGAGAGGCUGCCAGGCCCUGGGACAGAGCAGCUGCUGGGACACAGGGCAAGAGAUUGUUGGUGUUUGUCCGUGCUCCUGCUCCACGGUCCUGGCAGUGUCCUCGAUGGAGAGGUAGCUCCUCUCCUGGACACAGAGCAUGCACGGGCUCCUGGAUGCCCCCCUGUCACUAACUACACACGUGUUCCACAUAAAAUGAUGUAGGAAGUGUAACUUGUGACACCUCUUCCCAUUUUAAAGCUGCGGUGCUGUUCCUGGGUUGCACACCAUCUGUGCUGGGCAGCUGUGUGGAAAAACUGCAGGAAAACAAGAGCUCUGCUGCCCCUUGGUGGCCAUCACUCCAGCAGAGUCCUGUGGGAAUUUUGCAUCCAUUCGAGAGGGCUUAACGAUGUUUGGGGAGAAGGUAUUGACUAAGCUGUGCUGGCAGAAACUGGGGAAGCACGGCCAGCAGAGGAGAGGGUCCAGGUGUCACACAGGACAAGGCCCCUGACCUCCAGAUUUGAGAGCAACUCAAUAAAGCAAGGACAGCCUUACAUCCAGGGGCCAUCAACAUGGACAUUGCAAACGAGCCCUUCUUUGGGAAGGCCAGACAGAAAGAUUGGAGGCAUGAAGAAAAAUUAUUAAAGACCAUCACAUGGCUCUGAGAGACAGAUGGGACUCCUGAAGACACCAGCAGAAGCAUGUCUGGUUCAGAGAGGGAAGACUGAGCUGGCUAUGCUAGCAAGGCUUCAUCCAAAAUAUCAGAGAAGUUAUUCCCAAAUAACCCCCUUCAGUAUACAGAAUACCCCACAAUGUCACAGACCUUGGCAAGUCCUGGGAUUUUGUACAGCCAUAAGAAAUUCUGCCUAAUUACUUUCUUUUUUCUAACCAGGAAUUUGGGAAGCCCAUAUCCUCUCUUCCUGCCCCAGGACCUGACAUGCUUCACUGUAGCUACUACUUCCAUAGGCACCCAAUUCAUAUAUCUUCCUUAUUUAUGUCCUCCUUUAAGCAAGGAUUAAGCAUUCUCUACAAUUAAAAAAGUUGCAUUAAAUUGCAGAAAGUAACAUUCAAGACAGAGCCUUUUACUUGCUACUGUGUGUAAAAUUUUAAAUAAUGAAAUAAAACAUAAUACUUGAAGAUUGUUUAUUUUAAAUGGUAUUCUGAAAUUUGUGGCUAUAUACAAAUUUUUCAGCUAUGAAGCUUAAGAUUGCAUGGUGACUGUCUUCACAAAGUAAGGCUGCUCGGUCAGUAAUCUCAGAGUUGAUUCCAUUGAAGUGGGAUUACUCAGAGUACAGGAUGGCUUCAGAAAGCUUGUAAUCCAUGAAGGCACCAGCACCAAAGGAGGGAAGCCUUCCUGCAUAAAAAGCGAAUCAAGGGUCCCCUGGGAUGCCAUGGGACCUUUGCUGAAUUUGAGAGCAUCACCAGCAGGGAAAGGUCUGAGUGAAACCAGUGGCCACUGUGGAAAGGCCUUUACACUGCACUCACAACCUGCAGACAGGUACACACUGCAGGGGCUUUUCCAUGCCAGUCCUACUCACUGUGCUUUAUUCCUCACUCAGCUGGGCCAGUGACAGGACGAAAACACAGAAAAAGGAAAAAAAAAA